rnacentral:rRNA from 1 species
UACGUAGGCAGCGAGCGUUGUUCGGAGUUACUGGGCGUAAAGGGUGUGUAGGCGGUUCUUUAAGUUUGGUGUGAAAUCUCCCGGCUCAACCGGGAGGGUGCGCCGAAUACUGAGGAACUAGAGUACGGGAGAGGAAAGUGGAAUUCCUGGUGUAGCGGUGAAAUGCGUAGAUAUCAGGAGGAACACCUGCGGUGUAGACGGCUUUCUGGACCAUUGCUGACGCUGAGACACGAAAGCGUGGGUAGCAAACAGG